GCUAACUCCGUGCCAGCAGCCGCGGUAAUACGGAGGGUGCGAGCGUUAAUCGGAAUUACUGGGCGUAAAGCGCAUGCAGGCGGUCUGUUAAGCAAGAUGUGAAAGCCCGGGGCUCAACCUCGGAACAGCAUUUUGAACUGGCAGACUAGAGUCUUGUAGAGGGGGGUAGAAUUUCAGGUGUAGCGGUGAAAUGCGUAGAGAUCUGAAGGAAUACCGGUGGCGAAGGCGGCCCCCUGGACAAAGACUGACGCUCAGAUGCGAAAGCGUGGGGAGCAAACAGGAUUAGAUACCCCGGUAGUC
rnacentral:rRNA from 1 species